rnacentral:lncRNA from 1 species
AGACCUUAUAUUAAAGAGCGUAAUAUGCAUUAAAGUCUAAUGAAAAAGAGAAAACUAUAAGAUCAAUUUUGAGCAAUUCAACAUAUCUUUCGAAGUAUGUAAAUAUUUCUUUUAGGUUCUUCAGAUAUAUACCUCUGAACUUUUCAAAGUCCCUUAGUUACCAGCAUAUCAAUCAAUUUAGUUAAGGUGCUAUAAUAUUUAUUCAUAUAAUAGUUUUAUA